ACUGAAGUUGCAAAGGAAACAGCCAACCUGAAAUCUGAAAAGACCCAUAGAUACAGAAAAUCACAGCCAAGAUCUGCAUACUUGAAGAUCUGCAUACUUAGAGAAUAACUGCUGAAGUUAAUACUGGCACAUAUUAAGCCUAGAAUGUGCUAGCCAAUGUGGUACUGGACUGACGUGGCUCAUGGAUCUCAUGGUGGGAACUACAUAGAGUGGACUUAUGAGAAAAGCCAGCUGGGGCUCCAGGAGCAUCACGGAGCAAAGAGAGAUAAGGCCCGAAGAUCCAGACUGAUGAUAAGCCUAAAGCUGGUGGAGGACAAUCACUACUGGAUUCUACCACAGAAGGCUGCAAACACGGCUGAGGAUUUUUACUAAAGUUACAAAAAUCAUUAUCGUUCUGGGGAAUCCACCUGCCAUGGUGAGUAGCACUACAAGAGAGGCCCAUGCAGCAAAGAAUUGAAACCUCUAAACAAUAGCCAUGUAAGUAAGUUUGGAAAUGGAUUCUUAGCCUAACCUUAGGAUAACUGUGGCCCCAGGCAAUAGCUGGACUGGAAUCUUAUAGAGAUUUUGCACCAAAACCGCUUAGCUCAUCUGCUACCAGAUUCCAGGCCCACAGAAGCCCUGAGAUUAAAAAAAUGUUUGAAGAUUUAGGCUACGAAGUUUUGGAUAAUUUGUUACAAAGCAGUAUAUAAGUAAUACACCUAGGAAAUCAACUCUUAGGUACAUAUCCCAGGAACACUUGAACAGGUGCCUAAGCAUGUUCCCUGAAGCACUAUUUAUGGUACAAAUAGAUGGAGACAAAUAGAUUUUCAUCACUAUCAGAAUAAAAUAAGUAAAAUAUGAAAAAUUCAAAUAACAUAAUAAAACCGUGCCCCAAAGAGUUAAAGAAAAUAGUAACUAAUAGAAAUCCUUGAGUUUGCAGGAUAGUAGAUCAGAAAGCAAACAACUUGUUGAAACGUUGAGACACUAUCUGCUUGUAAGAUAACAAAACUGGCUACACUCAGUUAGAACCAAUAUGGCCAACUGGAGUUUAUGCAGAAUGAGCUUGCAGACAUCACAUGUUUUAUAUGAACUCACCCUGAAUUUGCACAUGAGACCCAUGAAGAAGCAGGAAAAAGUAACUGCACCCAGAAGGAACCUCCAGGCCUCCUCUUUCCUUCCACAAAUUACCUACUAAUUCUCGGACUCCACCCUCUAAAUCUUUUCUAAUACAAUUACUGCCUUAAAAUCAGCAGGGGGAGACAAAUUCGAGCUAGUCUCCUGUCAGAAUUCUUGGUCGACUUGCAAUAAAAAGCUUCUCUUUGCUCAAGAACCUGGUGUGAUAAUAUUGGCUUUUAGUGCAUUUGGGCAGCAAGCAUCAUUUGCUUGGUAACAGUAAUACUGUAAUCAAACACUAGAUGAAAUGAACUAGAUUAGACAGAUAGAUCUUCAAAACACAAUAAAUUGUGUAAAAAAAGUUA
rnacentral:lncRNA from 10 species